GACGAACGCUGGCGGCGUGCUUAACACAUGCAAGUCGAACGGAAAGGCCCUGCUUUUGUGGGGUGCUCGAGUGGCGAACGGGUGAGUAACACGUGAGUAACCUGCCCUUGACCUUGGGAUAACUUCAGGAAACUGGGGCUAAUACCGGAUAGGAGCUCCUGCUGCAUGGUGGGGGUUGGAAAGUUUCGGCGGUUGGGGAUGGACUCGCGGCUUAUCAGCUUGUUGGUGGGGUAGUGGCUUACCAAGGCUUUGACGGGUAGCCGGCCUGAGAGGGUGACCGGCCACAUUGGCACUGAGAUACGGCCCAGACUCCUACGGGAGGCAGCAGUGGGGAAUAUUGCACAAUGGGCGGAAGCCUGAUGCAGCAACGCCGCGUGCGGGAUGACGGCCUUCGGGUUGUAAACCGCUUUCGCCUGUGACGAAGCGUGAGUGACGGUAAUGGGUAAAGAAGCACCGGCUAACUACGUG
rnacentral:rRNA from 1 species